CAUGGUAUGAGGUUCCGCCACGCCGAGAUUCGCGUUUCUACAGUGCCCGUAAAUCGCCAUGGAUCACUCGGUAGCUAUUUGCUGAAAAGAAUUCAAGACUAAAAUAAAAGCGCAUUCGCAAGUAUUAUGUGACUGCAUCUUCAACAACGAACUCACAGAAUGGUCCAGUGGAUCAAGCACAAUGAGCUCCAUCUCCCAUUGGUAUGCUUUAACUGCAGACUACUACACAGAGAAUGGGUUGUAGAAAGUCUCCAAACCUGGCAUUUGUACUGACUUGGAGAUUGUGAAUACGAGGGAAGGUACCAACUUCACGUUCAGUUCCAAGAUGCAUCAUCACUCCUUAAUCAUUUCUGAAUGAAAAUCCUGGAGCUCCCUAACUGACACCAAAUUGACAACCGCAGUUUAGCACAGCCUUCUUGAGGAAAAUCUGGAAUGGUGCCUUCCCACUGACAGCCAUAUCCCAAUCAUUAAAGAUGUAGGAACUGCCUGCUGGAGAAUCUGAGAUAACAAGGUGUGGAGCUGAAACAGUUUAAGAGUCAGCACUGGCUUUCUCUGAAGAAGGGUCUCAUCAUGAAACGUCGGCUUUCCUGCUCCUCUGAUGCUGCUUGGCCUGCUGUGUUCAUCCAGUUCUAUGCCUGUUUUAAGAGUAAAGCGCGUCUGGACUGGGAGCCUGUGGUCAUUACAGUAUGAUGAGGCCUGGGCAUGGAGGCUGUGAUCACAUGAGCAUGGUAAGUGAAUUGUGAAUGCAGUGAAAUUGAUUAAAUAUAUCUGCCUAUUUAAUUUUCAGCAGCAGGAUGUUUAUGAUGACACUGUUUACAUUUUGAUUGCACUAUGAAACUCCAAGUAAACGCUCUGAUGUAUCCUGCAGCUCAAUGAACAGAUUUCACUAUUAGCUACUCAGGAAGUAGAGCUUUAUACAUGUAAUUUCUAUCUUGUUCCCUCAUCAUUUAGUCACACUGUAGAUUACUGAAGAAUAAGUGGGAGGGCAUGUGAUAUAGAAAAUCUUCUGUUUAGAUUAGAUUAGAUUAGAAAUGUUUAUAAUGGAGGCUCGUGACAAAUGAAACCUGAACUGUGGCUAAACUAAAGACUAAGGGCAGAGACUAGCUAAUUAUUGGAUUAGAUUAGAUUCCCUACAGUGUGGAAACAGGCCCUUUGGCACGAAAGUCCACACCACCGCACCCAUACCCAUCCCCCUAUAACUCGCACACCCCUGAACACUACAGGCAAUUUAGCAUGGCUGAUCCACCUAGCCUGCACAUCUUUGGACUGUGGGAGGAAACUGGAGCACCCGGAGGAAACCCACGCAGACAUGGGGAGAAUGUGCAAACUCUGCACAGACAGUUAUCUGAGGCUGGAAGCGAAUCUGGGUCCCUGGCACUGUAAGGCUGCAGUGCUAACCACUGAGCGACCGUGCUGACCCUUUAUCUCUUUUUAUAUGUGGUGCUAUUACAUUAAAUGGCCACUAGAAAGGCAGGAUCAAAUGUGCAGACUAACGAAAGGUGGGGGUUCCAAUGAUAGAAGAUGGGAGGUGCUUAAGUAUUUUUUUUAAAAGAUCUCUUCCCCCCCCAGUUACUGACCUGUCUGUUCUAUUUUACAGAUGCUGACUGUGGCUCUGUGUUGUAUCUCUCUGCGUUCCGAUUUAUCAGUAUUCAUUGCUGUUAACAACUUCUAAUAUAACUCAGUAAAUCAUAUCUAUUAAUCAAUGGUUAUAAUAGUAACUGCAGAUUUCCAUGUACCAGCCUACCUUCCUUCUCCAUUCAAACUAAUUCAGGGGCUUGCUUCUAGAUUAGAUUAGAUUCCCUACAGUGUGGAAACAGGCCCUUCAGCCCAACAGGUCCCUUUGGAGCAUGGAGCAUCCCACCCAGACCUGUCCCCCUCCCCCCCAUAAACCCUCCUAAUCUACACAUCCCUGAACACUGGGCAAUUUAGCAUGGCCAAUCUACCUAGCCUGCACAUCUUUGGACUGUGGGAGGAAACCAGGGCACCUGGAGGAAACCCACGCAGGCAUGGGGAGAAUGUGCAAACUCUACACAGACAGUUGCCCGUGGCUGGAAUUGAACCCGGAUCCCUGUUGAUGUGAGGGUGCAGUGCUAACCACUAAGCCACUGUGCUGCCCGGUUGUAUCAGGUUACAGCCACUUCAAUUUGCAUUACACCCCACUUGAAAGUGCAGUCAUUCGUAAAUUGCUAUGUAAACAACCCUGUUUAACAAGACCCACAUUCCAUUCAAAGGUGCAGUCAAAUGCAACAACUAACAGAACUGAGCAGAUACUACAGGUGGCCAUGGAUACUCGCGUGGGCCCAAGCUAUGCCUGCCACUUUAUAGGUUACGUGGAACAGUCCCUCUUCCGUACCUACACAGGCCCCAAACCCCACCUCUUCCUCCGUUACAUUGAUGACUGUAUCGGCGCUGCCUCUUGCUCCCCAAAGGAGCUCGAACAGUUCAUCCACUUCACCAACACCUUCCACCCCAACCUCAAGCUCACCUAGGCCAUCUCCAAUACAUCCCUCACCUUCCUGCACCUCUCAGUCUCCAUCUCAGGUAACCAGCUCGAAACUGAUGUCCAUUUCAAGCCCACUGACUCCCACAGCUACCUAGAAUACACCUCCUCCCACCCACCCUCCUGCAAAAAUUCAAUCCCCUAUUCCCAAUUCCUCCACCUCCGCCGCAUCUGCUCCCAGGAUGAGGCAUUCCACUCCCGCACAUCCCAGAUGCCCACGUUCUUCAAGGACCGCAAAUUUCCCCCUGCAGUGGUCGAGAACACCCUUGACGGCGUCUCCCGCAUUUCCUGCAACACAUCCCUCACACCCCGCCCCCGUCACAACCGCCCCCAGAGGAUCCCCCUCGUUCUCACAUACCACCCCACCAAUCUCCGGAUACAACGCAUCAUCCUCCAACACUUCCGCCAUCUACAAUCCGACCCCACCACCCAAGCUAUUUUUCCAUCCCCACCCUUGUCUGCCUUCCGGAGAGACCACUCUCUCCGCAACUCCCUUGUCCGCUCCACACUCGCCUCCAACCCCACCACACCUGGCACCUUCCCCUGCAACCGCAAGAAGUGCUACACUUUCCCCCACACCACCUCCCUCACCCCCAUCCCAGGCCCCAAGAUGACCUUCCAUGUCAAGCAGAUGUUCACCUGCACGUCUGCCAAUGUGGUAUAUUGUAUCCAUUGUACCCAGUGUGGCUACCUCUACAUUGGGGAAACCAAGCGGAGGCUUGGGGACCGCUUUGCAGAACACCUCCGCUCGGUUCGCAACAAAACAACUGCACCUCCCAGUCGCGAACCAUUUUAACUCCCCCUCCCAUUCCUCAGACGACAUGUCCAUAAUGGGCCUCCUGCAGUGCCACAAUGAUGCCACCAGAAGGUUGCAAGAACAGCAACUCAUAUUCCGCUUGGGAACCCUGCAGCCCAAUGGUAUCAAUGUGGACUUCACAAGCUUCAAAAUCUCCCCUUCCAUCACUGCAUCCCAAAACCAGCCCAGCUCAUCCCCUCCCCCCACUGCAUCCCAAAACCAGCCCAGCCUGUCUCCGCUUCCCUAAUCUGUUCUUCCUCUCACCCAUCCCUUCCUCCCACCUCAAGCCGCACCUCCAUUUCCUACCUACCACAUCAUCCCGCCUCCUCGACCUGUCCGUCUUCCCUGGACUGACCUCUCCCCUCCCUACCUCCUCACCUAUACUCUCCUCUCUACCUAUCCUCUUUUCUCUCCAUCUUCGGUCCGCCUCCCCCUCUCUCCCUAUUUAUUCCAGUUUCCUCUCCCCAUCCCCCCUCUGAUGAAGGGUCUAAGCCCAAAACGUCAGCUUUUGUGCUCCUGAGAUGCUGCUUGGCCUGCUGUGUUCAUCCAGCUCCACACUUUGUUAUCUUACUACAGGAUGAAGCUGUUUUGCACCCCCACACCAAAAAUAGCGUUGUUUGAUGUUAACAUCCAACUGUGAAUAGGUGCUAAGUAGGUGCUGUUUAUCUUCUCUCUCCAGCUAGAAUAGCUCCAAGUAUCAAAGGAGAUAAUUGGAUUAGAGAUAGUAGGAACUGCAGAUGCUGGAGAAUCUAAGACAAGGUGUAGAGCUAGAUCAACACAGCAAGCCAAGCAGCAUCAGAGGAGCAGGAAAGCUGACGUUUCGGGCCUAGACCUUAGAUUUCUGAAGAAGGGUUUAGGCCAAAAGAUCAGCUUUCCUGCUCCACUCGACACUGCUUGGUCUGCUGUGUUCAUUUGGCUCUGCAUCUUGCUGUCUCUGAUAAUUGAAUUAGCCCUUUUCCUUUCAAGUAAAAUGUUACUUCCCUGCAGCCUUUUCCUGUGUAUUAUGUAACCAGGUACUUGUCCCAAGUUUUUAUUCAACAUGUAUAUAAAACCUCACCCCACUAAUAAAACUAACAUACGCUAUGCAGUGUGAGAGCAACCUUUAACCUACUAACAAAACUCACAGCGGUAUGUCCAGAUCCGCACAACCUUGAAUGAAUGAAAUGGACAGCACAUACGACAGGUGUGACCACGAAACCGAAUUAAUGAAGGAAUGAUAGUAAAAAGAACCUAUAGAUGGACGCAACCAAGAAACUAACUAAACAAGCGAUAGUAAAUAAAAACCACAGUCAAAACUGUUGGGAAUUUAGACUUUUUUAAAAAACACAAGUUGCCUUUUUCUAACUUUAAAAUUCUAACCUUGAAAAUAGCAAGACGUACACCUUUUGAAUUAUGCAAGGACAAACUAGACAAACACUCUAAUCUUGUUAAAAUAACCAUUAACCUCAACAACAACCACUAACAUUUAGCACAUUUGAACCAUCUCCGAUUUCCUGCAAAACAGCUUUUGUACAGUAUCUACUGCCUUAACACUCAAGUGUUACAAUGUUAACAUAUGCUUGAAAUCUAUAUAAAAACGGCUGCUUUUAAGCAAUGUUUUUGGGAUUCCAUUUCGCUUUGCAUUGUGUUGCAAUGAACGUACAAUAAAGAGGCUAUUUUCACCA